AUCCUUUUUGGAGAGUUUGAUCCUGGCUCAGGACGAACGCUGGCGGCGUGCCUAAUACAUGCAAGUCGAGCGGUCCCUUCGGGGAUAGCGGCGGACGGGUGAGUAACACGUAG
rnacentral:rRNA from 1 species